AUUGAACGCUGGCGGCAUGCCUUACACAUGCAAGUCGAACGGCAGCAUGGAAGAGCUUGCUCUUCUGAUGGCGAGUGGCGAACGGGUGAGUAAAGCAUCGGAACGUACCGUGUAAUGGGGGAUAACGUAGCGAAAGUUACGCUAAUACCGCAUACGACCUGAGGGUGAAAGCAGGGGAUCGCAAGACCUUGCGUUAUACGAGCGGCCGAUGUCAGAUUAGCUAGUUGGUAGGGUAAAGGCCUACCAAGGCGACGAUCUGUAGCGGGUCUGAGAGGAUGAUCCGCCACACUGGGACUGCGACACGGCCCAGACUCCUACGGGAGGCAGCAGUGGGGAAUUUUGGACAAUGGGGGCAACCCUGAUCCAGCCAUGCCGCGUGAGUGAAGAAGGCCUUCGGGUUGUAAAGCUCUUUCGGCCGGGAAGAAAUCGCACAGGCUAAUACUCUGUGUGGAUGACGGUACCGGCAUAAGAAGCACCGGCUAACUACGUGCCAGCAGCCGCAGUAA
rnacentral:rRNA from 1 species